rnacentral:rRNA from 1 species
GACGAACGCUGGCGGCGUGCCUAAUACAUGCAAGUUGAGCGCUGAAGGUUGGUACUUGUACCGACUGGAUGAGCAGCGAACGGGUGAGUAACGCGUGGGGAAUCUGCCUUUGAGCGGGGGACAACAUUUGGAAACGAAUGCUAUACCGCAUAAAAACUUUUAACCCCAGUUUUAAGGUUGAAAGAUGCCAUUGCCUCAAUCAAAGAUGAUCCCGCGUUGUAUUAGCUAGUUGGUGAGGUAAAGGCUCACCAAGGCGAUGAUACAUAGCCGACCUGAGAGGGUGAUCGGCCACAUUGGGACUGAGACACGGCCCAAACUCCUACGGGAGGCAGCAGUAGGGAAUCUUCGGCAAUGGACGAAAGUCUGACCGAGCAACGCCGCGUGAGUGAAGAAGGUUUUCGGAUCGUAAAACUCUGUUGGUAGAGAAGAACGUUGGUGAGAGUGGAAAGCUCAUCAAGUGACGGUAACUACCCAGAAAGGGACGGCUAACUACGUG